rnacentral:lncRNA from 1 species
CCUCCUCCAUCGAAGAAACCCUAAGCCCGAGCAGAACCUCGCACGAUCUCUACGCCGAUGGUGCUCCGAUCGGAGAUCCAGCGAUCCAAGGUGGGAAGAACAAGCCCAAAAAUCUCGCGAUCUGAGCUUCUUGCAUUGGAAACAUACGGAGAGGAAAACGAGCUUGUUGGAAGAAGGGAGUGAGGUCCCCAGAAACAGGGGAGAGAGGGGGAGGCAGGGAACGCAAGAUGACCAGAGAUGGAACCAUGCGCGCGCCCCUCCCAUUUAUAGAGCGCGGAUUUGAAUCGUG